GGCUCAGGAUGAACGCUGGCGGCGUGCUUAACACAUGCAAGUCGAACGAUGAUCCCAGCUUGCUGGGGGAUUAGUGGCGAACGGGUGAGUAACACGUGAGUAACCUGCCCUUAACUCUGGGAUAAGCCUGGGAAACUGGGUCUAAUACCGGAUAUGACUCCUCAUCGCAUGGUGGGGGGUGGAAAGCUUUAUUGUGGUUUUGGAUGGACUCGCGGCCUAUCAGCUUGUUGGUGAGGUAAUGGCUCACCAAGGCGACGACGGGUAGCCGGCCUGAGAGGGUGACCGGCCACACUGGGACUGAGACACGGCCCAGACUCCUACGGGAGGCAGCAGUGGGGAAUAUUGCACAAUGGGCGAAAGCCUGAUGCAGCGACGCCGCGUGAGGGAUGACGGCCUUCGGGUUGUAAACCUCUUUCAGUAGGGAAGAAGCGAAAGUGAC
rnacentral:rRNA from 1 species